AAUAUACCUAUCUAACUUCAUUGAAUGCUGUCUUGACAGUCUAAUUCAGUGCAGACCCCUCAGAUCCACAAAAGGCCUCCAAUCAUUGUGAGCUAUGGGCAGGACCAGACAUCUGGGGAUGGAUGGAGCAUCAAUCCAGAGCCUCUCAGCCAGGUCAUCUCUGCUGUUCCCAUAGAGACACAACAGUUAGAUCAAUCUGUUGAUUCAUAUGGCCAUUUUGGUUGGCUUGGUUGAAUUGACAAUUAUCCAUUCGAGAUGCUAAAGAAUCCUGUACUAUGGAAGGUCUUUUGCCCCACCCCUAAUGUUAUGGGAGUUGCAUUUAUUGCAUUUUCAGUUACCCAUGUAUUACUCACUACUUGUACAACCAUGUUGGAUUGCCUACAUAUUCUACAUUUCCUUGAGGGUCAAUGCCAGUGUAUUCUAUGGCUGCCAUGAGUACAUGCCUUUCUCUGUCUCCUCAGUCUGGAAGGGUGACUCGGCUGAUAGAGAGAAAAUAUCAUGACGUGAUCUCAUCCUCCAGUUCUGAUGACUUUUCCAUCUACUCCUUCACUGACUGUGAAUCUGAGUGUGAUGAUGAGGAUCAUGAAAGGAGGACCCCAAAGCUGAAAGUUGAGAAUGGAAAGGUGACAAAGCUUGAUGUGAGGGAUAUGGAUGAGGAUGAUCUGUCUCUCCACUCCUUCGAUGAGUCAGACUUCCUGGU